rnacentral:ncRNA from 1 species
CAAAAGUUUGGUCGUGACUUUACUAUCAACUUUAGCUCAAGUUACACAUGCAAGUAUCAGCACCGCCGUGAGAAUGCCUUACAGUUUCCUUUUAGGAAACGAGGAGUUGGUAUCAGGCACAUGAUUCUCCCAUAGCCCACGACACCUUGCUUUGCCACACCCCCAAGGGAGUUCAGCAGUGAUAAACAUUAAGCCAUGAGUGAAAACUUGACUUAGUUAAAUCCAAAAGAGCCGGUUAAACUCGUGCCAGCCGCCGCGGUUAUACGAGAGGCUCAAGUUAAUAACUAAUGGCGUAAAGAGUGGUUAGAUGUAUUUUAAAAUUAAGGCCGAACGUUCUCACAGCUGUUAUACGCACUUGAAAAUAAGAAGCCCAACUACGAAAGUGGCCAUAAUAAUAUUGAACCCACGAUAGCUAAGGUACAAACUGGGAUUAGAUACCCCACUAUGCUUAGCCCUAAACAUUGAUACAUUAUUACAUCUUCAAUCCGCCCGGGUACUACAAGCACUAGCUUAAAACCCAAAGGACUAGGCGGUGCUUAAGAUCCUCCCUAGAGGAGCCUGUUCUAAAACCGAUAAUCCACGUUUAACCUCACCCUCUCUUGUUUUUCCCGCCUAUAUACCGCCGUCGUCAGCUUACCCUGUGAAGGUCCAAUAGUGAGCAAAAAUGGCACAGCCCAAAACGUCAGGUCGAGGUGUAGCGCAUGAGAGGGGAAGAAAUGGGCUACAUUCUCUAAAAAUAGAAGCACACGGACAAUAUAUUGAAACAUAUAUUUUAAGGAGGAUUUAGUAGUAAGUAGAAAUUAGAACAUUCCACUGAACUCGGCCCUAAAGCGCGCACACACCGCCCGUCACCCUCCCCGAAUCUAAAAAAAUUUACACUUAAUAAUAAGCACCACCAGCAAAGGGGAGGCAAGUCGUAACAUGGUAAGUGUACCGGAAGGUGUACUUGGAUAAAU